GUCCAUUGCCUCUCUCUUCCGCUUCAGUCUUCUUCCUCAGCCGUUCUUCUCUCUCUUACACUUCACUCUUUCUUCGUAGAUCUUGCCGUCCUUAUGCUUGUGUUAUGAAGAAAAUGGUAAAAAUUCCUAUCACUUAUGCUUGUAGAAAUAUUUUUCUAAAUCUCUUUCUCUAGAAUUCAUUUCUCGUCAAAGCUCCAGUUCUCAAAUCUUAUUGAUAAAGGAAAACUCUACUCAGCCCCCGGUUUUCCAAACGCACUCCACACUCCUGACGUGGCCGAACUCGGUCCGAGCCACAUCACGGGUUAGUGAAAUUGAAACCCUCGCUGCUUCAUUCUCCCGCUUCUCCCUCAGAUCUCUGCUCCUCCCUCAGACCUCUCACUCGAAGCUUCAUUCUCCUUCUUCGGCACGGCAUUUUGUCCCCAAAGGCCAAAAGGACUUACUGCAACAUAACCCUUCCUCUUGCGUCCUUCGCUGCUCUCUCUUGCUCACACAUAUCGAUGUUUCGACGAAUAAAACAGAUCUUAUCCAAUCUGAAAGCAGAAGUGGUUUCAAAUUUCGGAGUCCGUUGUCGAUAAGUUCUUAAGUUUCGGAACGGAAACAUCAAAGGAAAGGACAAGGGCAUGAAUUCAUGAGGCAAAGGAAUGAAAAAUUGAGUAUUUAUUUUCUUACAAAUUUAGAACAUUGAGUAUUUAUUCGUGCUGCAGCUUUUUUUUUUUUUUUUUUUUUAUCAUCAUCACUGGCGAGGAAUUAGUUUCUUCUUUGGAAAUUGAAUGAAUUAUUAAACAAUAAUUGAGGUAGUAAUUUGCUUGAAUUUUGAGUACAUGGAAGCUUGCUUAUUCUUUUUCCUUGCACUAGUGUUCUUACCUUGGUGUUUUUUCCUCCUGUAUAUCUUGAGUGACCAUUCUCUAAUAUUGGUGAUGUAGACUUCAUUAGAGUAGAGUGAUUUCUUCUUUACUUCUUCUAAAAUGCCUUAUUAUAUAAAUAAUAUGUUUUCCUUCUUUACUGUAAAAUUCUACUGGAAUUGAUGUCACUUUUGUCUCUAUAGGAUCCUCUGUCUUUGGUUAGAAGGCUUCUUUUGGUGGGUUUGGAUCCACUUCUACUCCAGCAAGUCCCUUUGGAAGCACAAAUCAACAAUCACAACCAGCAUUUGGGAGUAGCAUAUUUGGUUCCUCCUCACCAUUUGGUGCAACAAGUCAGUCUGCGUUUAGUGCAAGUAGCACCCCUGCUUUUGGUGCUACAAGCACUCCUGCAUUUGGUGCUAUGAGCGCCCCUACAUUUGGUGCUAUGAGCGCCCCUGCCUUUGGUGCUACAAGCACGCCUGCUUUUGGUGCUAUGAUCACCCCAGCCUUUGGUAUAAAGAGAAACAAAAUGUCAAUUCUUCAUUUGGAUAGAUAUACUUCAAUCAGUAGUAUUUGAGAAAAUCUUGACAAAGAGAAUGAAGUUCGGAAGAGGGAAGAUGUUGUAUUGUUGCAUGAGUAUGAAGCUAAAAAAGAAAAGGACAAAUUAAUAGAGACAGAAUAUGCUUCACAAGCAAGAGGUCGAACUUCGAAGAAUGAUAAUAGAUAAUAGGAUUGUACGUAUAUUGUUGUGUCUAUAUUGGGUUGUAUCUCUUGUAAUAGUUUUUGGUUGGUUUUGAAUGUAGAUGUAUCAUGUUAGUUUUAAAUGUAAAUAGAAUGAUUGGAUCCUAACAUGUAUAAUAUAUUAUCUAUGAAUUAUAUUAUGACAACUUAUUAUGGAUGUUAGGUUCACUUUUCUGCA